CCUACGGGAGGCAGCAGUAGGGAAUCUUCCACAAUGGACGAAAGUCUGAUGGAGCAACGCCGCGUGAGUGAAGAAGGGUUUCGGCUCGUAAAGCUCUGUUGGUAGUGAAGAAAGAUAGAGGUAGUAACUGGCCUUUAUUUGACGGUAAUUACUUAGAAAGUCACGGCUAACUACGUGCCAGCAGCCGCGGUAAUACGUAGGUGGCAAGCGUUGUCCGGAUUUAUUGGGCGUAAAGCGAGUGCAGGCGGUUCAAUAAGUCUGAUGUGAAAGCCUUCGGCUCAACCGGAGAAUUGCAUCAGAAACUGUUGAACUUGAGUGCAGAAGAGGAGAGUGGAACUCCAUGUGUAGCGGUGGAAUGCGUAGAUAUAUGGAAGAACACCAGUGGCGAAGGCGGCUCUCUGGUCUGCAACUGACGCUGAGGCUCGAAAGCAUGGGUAGCGAACAGGAUUAGAUACCCCAGUAGUC
rnacentral:rRNA from 1 species